AAAAAAGAAAGAAGAUAUCUCACGAGUAGUGAACCCAAGUAACUAACUAAACACCCGACUGUACUCUGAAUUCAUUUUCGGCCCUUCAAAAAGCCCAAUUGCGAAGUUACCGAAAAUGAAACCCCUUCUCUAUAAUUUUCUUCUUCCUUGAAGCUUACUUUCAGUUUCAGCCCUUUUUGGUUGCUACGAUGGCUUCAAAAUGCAACAGAAUUAUCAACAGAACGUCAGUGUCGUCUCUCAGAUCCACCAUUAAAUCUAAUCUUCAAACUGCUUCAGCUUCCUCUCCUUCGCCGUCUUUAAGGAGAUCCACUACCUCACCUGUCCGCCGCUUCUUCUUGUCCAGAGUUCCGAUGGAGCUUGGAGGUGCACAAUCUCUGUUGCCUCUUCACAGUGCGGUUGCUACUGCAAGGAUGACGUCGGGCCUGAGCUCAAGGAGUUGCAGAGCUAUUUCACAGGAUGAUAUUGAUGGGAAGUGAGACAUUUUGCUGUUUCUGGAGGUGGGCCUCAUCAAGUAUGCUCCUAAAUGUCUUGGAAGGAUUUUCACACUACUCAAAUCACGGAGCUCGGUUUGUCAGUUCCAAGGUGACUUUGCAGAUCAUCACAAAGAGAAAAAAGUUAUCAUCUUCAGGUUAUUGUAAAAGGAAGGUUUUGCUAUUCAUUUCUGCAAAAUUAUGUCAUUUUAUUAAAAGCUGCUCAAACAUUACAUAGCAGUAAAACUAUUUUUGAUUCUUCAAGUGUAAUAAAUGUGUUUUGUGAGCAACAAAUAUAAGGAAAGGGCCUUGUUUA